rnacentral:misc_RNA from 1 species
GGUCCCCAAUUCUAUUUACAAGUUACAGAAUUUACAAUCUUUGUUACUUCUUACUGAGGAGUUACCCAAUGAUAUAAGGUACUUGAUCAGCCUUAGAUUUCUAAUUUUUUCCACAAAGCAGAAGUGUUUGGCAAAGAAUGGACUAGGCUGCUUGACAUCUCUUAGGUUUUUGGGCAUUGUCGAAUCUGAAAAUUUAGAAUACUUGUUUGAAGAUAUGUUUGAAGAUAUGCAAGGCCUCAAACAUCUUCGAACGCUGAUUAUUAGCGAAUGUGAAAGCUUAAUCUCAUUGCCUCAAAGUAUGAAGUACCUCACUG